rnacentral:lncRNA from 1 species
UACUCUCCCAGACUUGUUCUCAGCCUUUCUGGGGACAAAUGAAGGAAGCAACUGGGGAGAAGAAACUAACCAGAGGUUUGGAGAUGUUUCUCAGGUUAUUUUGAGAACAGCCGAUCCGGAAAUCUCAGGUUCCUGUAAUUAGGCAACCCACACAUGACCGUCAGCCUGCCUGGUGAGGUCUCUAGAUAACUAUGAUGAUGCAGUGGGGGAUAUAAAAGCAAGAUGAAAGAAAGCUGGUGCUAGGACUAUGUAAAAAAUGGCAUGAAAAAUCAGAAAUACAACAAACACUUCCUCAAGUAAAACCUGACUCACCUAUUUCCUGAGGCAGGCAUGGGCAGAAAGGAGGAAAAAGUGGCUUUGGUGAGGUUAGGUAUCAUGCCGGAUUUCCUGCACAUUUUCGUGAAGACCAUCUAGAAGCCCAUGCCUGCUUAUAACUGGCGAGAUGGGAUUAUGGCUUGUCAAGCAGCAGAACACACCCAGUGUCUCCUCUCCUACAGAGCGUCUGCUGCUAUGGACAUGUGCUGCCCUGGGAAAAGUCCACUGAAGGUGGAUGAUGCAGAUGAAAAGGCUACUUCACUUUUGGAAGCUGCCUAAUUCACUUCCAGGAGCAAACUUUUUGAUCGGUAGGAUAUGACUCAGUGAUGCUGAUUGAAUUGGCUUCUCACUGUAUUUGUCAAGGCUGGAACAGACGAUGGCACUGCAGAAUCUUAUGUGCACAGAAGAAAUCUACAGACAUUCAAUGAGGGGAGGAUUUCGUUCCAUCAGAUGGGCUUCCUGACAUAAUUGCAAAGGCACAUGAAGACUCAACGAUUUAUCUCCCAUCAACCUCUUCUUAGUUAAUAUCAGCCCAUGUGCUCCAAGAAAACCAGAGGAAAUAUCAAGAAAGAAGAAAACAUGAGACCCUGAAAAUAAAAACCUCAACCCAGAAGGAGACCAUGAAAUAAUUCCAGUAUGUUUGCUUAAUUGUUGGGUAUUCCUGUGACAAAGAAGGCACUACUCAGCCAGCCAGAAUGCACUGACCACCACUGCAGGGUUUCAGUCACAUGAGACAUCUGGGUGAUAGAGGGAAGUGUGGGGAAUGGCUAUCAUUGAUGAGCCUGUAUGUUCUAAGUGAUCUGGGGACUAAGGCUUAUUUUUCUCCAGGCUUGUCUUAUGAAGAAGUUUUAGUCUAUUUGGAAUAGAUAAGGCUUAUACACAUAAAGUAACUGAUACUCAAUUAUAUGUAAUUAUGUUAGUUGGGGAUAAGGCUAAGCUGUGUUAUGUAGUGACUCAAAAAUGCGAUGACUCAAACAAGAUUGGAGCUUGUUUCUCUCCGGGAAUGAAUGAUCCCACACUCGGGGGCAGCUAGGCUGCUGGGAUCCAGGUUCCUUCACCUGUUGCUCUGUUAUGGUUGAAGCUGGCUUAUCCCAACCUCAUUCA